AUAUAUUUCUUGCUUUUUUUUUCAUUUAUGCCUUUCUUCAUUAAAGCCCACGCAUUAUUUGCGUUUUGUGCUUAAAACCUUUUUUCGCUUUUCUCCUUCAUAACUCCGGGGCAUCUACCAAGUCCGAACAAAAAGAUGGAGAAACAACGAAAAUUCAAGAAAGAGAACUUGAUAUAAUGGUAAUACUAAACAGAUUUUUUAGAACGAAAUAAAAGGUCACAAUAAAAAUGGUUUGAGCAGAUUUAAUUAUUCAAUUAUGUCGAUUCUCUUGACCAUGGAGAAUAAAGAGUAUUCCGACUAAUCAUUUUGCUUUUAUGCAGUUUCUGGAUGAGACGAAGCUGACUGGAUGAUAAAUUUUUCGAAAUUUAGCUGAUUUGUGUCGUGUAAUUUUUUAUAUUG
rnacentral:lncRNA from 1 species